rnacentral:rRNA from 1 species
GACGAACGCUGGCGGCGUGCUUAACACAUGCAAGUCGAACGGAAAGGCCCUGCUUUUGUGGGGUGCUCGAGUGGCGAACGGGUGAGUAACACGUGAGUAACCUGCCCUUGUCUUUGGGAUAACUUCAGGAAAAUGGGGCUAAUAUCGGAUAGGAUCUCCUGCUGCAUGGUGGGGGUUGGAAAGUUUCGGCGGUUGGGGAUGGACUGGCGGCUUAUCCGCUAGUUGGUGGGGUAGUGGCUUCCCAAGGUUUUGACGGCUAGCCGGCCUGAGAGGGUGGCCGGGGACAAUGGUACUGAGGGAGGCACCAGUAGGGUACGGGCGGCAGUAGGGGGGAAUCUUGCAGAGUGGGGGGAAGUCAGUUACAGAGGCGCCGGGUUCGGGAUAACGGCCUUCGGGGUGUAAACAACUUUCGACUGAGACGAGGCGGGAGUGACGGUAAUGAAUCAAGAAGCACCGGCUAACUACGUG